rnacentral:rRNA from 1 species
UCGAGCGAGUGGCGAACGGGUGAGUAACGCGUGAGGAACCUGCCUCAAAGAGGGGGACAACAGUUGGAAACGACUGCUAAUACCGCAUAAGCCCACGACCGGCAUCGGGUUGAGGGAAAAGGAGCAAUCCGCUUUGAGAUGGCCUCGCGUCCGAUUAGCUAGUUGGUGAGGUUAACGGGCCCACCAAGGCGACGAUCGGUANCCGGACUGAGAGGUUGAACGGCCACAUUGGGACUGAGACACGGCCCAGACUCCUACGGGAGGCAGCAGUGGGGAAUAUUGCACAAUGGGGGAAACCCUGAUGCAGCGACGCCGCGUGGAGGAAGAAGGUCUUCGGAUUGUAAACUCCUGUUGUUGAGGAAGAUAAUGACGGUACUCAACAAGGAAGUGACGGCUAACUACGUG